rnacentral:rRNA from 1 species
AGUCGAACGGUAACAGGAAGAAGCUUGCUUCUUUGCUGACGAGUGGCGGACGGGUGAGUAAUGUCUGGGAAACUGCCUGAUGGAGGGGGAUAACUACUGGAAACGGUAGCUAAUACCGCAUAACGUCGCAAGACCAAAGAGGGGGACCUUCGGGCCUCUUGCCAUCGGAUGUGCCCAGAUGGGAUUAGCUAGUAGGUGGGGUAACGGCUCACCUAGGCGACGAUCCCUAGCUGGUCUGAGAGGAUGACCAGCCACACUGGAACUGAGACACGGUCCAGACUCCUACGGGAGGCAGCAGUGGGGAAUAUUGCACAAUGGGCGCAAGCCUGAUGCAGCCAUGCCGCGUGUAUGAAGAAGGCCUUCGGGUUGUAAAGUACUUUCAGCGGGGAGGAAGGGAGUAAAGUUAAUACCUUUGCUCAUUGACGUUACCCGCAGAAGAAGCACCGGCUAACUCCGUGCCAGCAGCCGCGGUAAUACGGAGGGUGCAAGCGUUAAUCGGAAUUACUGGGCGUAAAGCGCACGCAGGCGGUUUGUUAAGUCAGAUGUGAAAUCCCCGGGCUCAACCUGGGAACUGCAUCUGAUACUGGCAAGCUUGAGUCUCGUAGAGGGGGGUAGAAUUCCAGGUGUAGCGGUGAAAUGCGUAGAGAUCUGGAGGAAUACCGGUGGCGAAGGCGGCCCCCUGGACGAAGACUGACGCUCA